rnacentral:rRNA from 1 species
AGGCCUCUGGUACAAGCUUCCGCUCCUGGAUGAGCCCAUGGCCCAUCAGCUAGUUGGUAGGUAAAGGCCUACCAAGGCGACGACGGGUAGCUGGUCUGAGAGGACAACCAGCCACACUGGCACUGAGACACGGGCCAGACUCCUACGGGAGGCAGCAGUGAGGAAUAUUGCGCAAUGGGGGCAACCCUGACGCAGCAACGCCGCGUGUGGGAAGAAGGCUUUCGGGUUGUAAACCACUUUUGCCCGGGACGAAAAGGGACCCAAUAACACGGGGUUCCGAUGACGGUACCGGGAGAAUAAGCCACGGCUAACUCUGUGCCAGCAGCCGCGGUAAGACAGAGGUGGCAAGCGUUGUUCGGAAUUACUGGGCGUAAAGAGUCUGUAGGUGGUCUGUCAAGUCUUUGGUGAAAGGCCGUGGCUUAACCAUGGGAAUGCCAAAGAGACUGGCAGACU